CCUAGGCCGGCGCUCUCACCACGGAGAAGGCCAUGUUCAGUUCGAGGUUGAAGAUCGUGAAGCCCAAUGGCGAGAAGCCGGACGAGCUCGAGUCCGGCAUCUCCCAGGCUCUGCCAGAGUUGGAGAUGAGCUCCGACCUCAGAGCCCAGGUAAGGGAGCUGAGUGUCACGGCAUCCAAGGAAACUGAAGUUGGCGGUGUUCGGGAAGCUAUUACUAUCUUUGUUCCCGUUCCUCAACUGAAAUCUUUCCAGAAAAUCCAAGUCCGGCAAGUCCGUGAAUUGGAGAAAAAGUUCAAUGGGAAGCACGUUGCCUUUAUCGCUCAGAGAAGAAUUCUGCCUAAACCAACUUGAAAAAGUCAUAUAAAAAAAUAAGCAAAAGCAUCCCAGGAGCCGCACUUUGACAGCUGUGCAUGCCGCGAUCCUGAAGGACUUGGUUUUCCCAAGCCAAACUGUGGGCAAGAGAAUUCAUGUGAAACUGGAUGGUAGUCGGCUCAUCAAGGUCCAUUUGGAUAAAGCACAGCA